GUCAGAGACUAGAUGUUCUCAGAUCAGAGCGAUAAAAGAUGCACACCAGCUGCAUUUCUGGGGAUUUCUAAACCACAGACAUAAGCAAAACAGUGUGCUCUAUGUGCAUGAAGAUACAACUGUUAGAGAAGAGCACAGUAGGGUCAGCAGGAAACAAAUGCGUCUUUGAUUGGGGCAACUAGUGUUUGUCAGUUGGUGUGUUUGUGCCGCUCUCUCCUCACUACUCAAUGAUUACUGCUGAAUAUAUAAAUAUGAACUUUUCACAGUUCCAAGUUUUUAGUUUCAGACAGAUUAAUCAAUUGUUUUUUGUAGCAACUCAAAUAGUUAAAUUCAUUUUAUUUUGUAGAGCCCAAAAUCGCAUAUUUGUCUACACAUGCAGCAUCCUCUGUCCCGAAACCCUCACAUCGGCACAGGGAAAACUCCCCAUAAAACCCUUCAAGGAUGGACACACUGUAAUGGAUGUCAUGUGUACAUAAUGAACAAUGUAAAAGAUUUACAAUACAUUCAAUUCCUAAAACAGAAACGUUGUGAGUAGUAAGCCAGACAGGACCACUGCAGGGACAAACCCCAUCAGACAGAACCGCCAGAGGCCUGUGGGGAGGGACAGCACAAAGACCUCAGGGAAGAAGCAAAGUGUGACCCCCAGCAGCAGGCCUCCCUCUGCCCUGCCCCCCCCGGCCCCCCUCUGCCUCCUCCUGGCUGCAGCUCUGGCUCUGCUGGCCGGUCUGAUCUGGCUCAUCGUGGAGCCGGCGUAUCACUGCAGCAGCAGGGCGCCUCGGGGCUUCCACCUGGCUCUAAGGUACGUCAACGGACCCCCGCCUACAUGAAGACCACCCUGAGACCCUCAUGACCGCCGAAAAGUCAUUCAUUCUCAAAAGAAAAGGACUCCUAACAUCAUAGCAUUAGAGAUGUGGAGAGAUGAAGCCAAUAGUCGUAGCCAGAAAGCCUCUGUGCCUUGCAUUACCAAAAAUAUUUAAUGAAGCAGAAAAUAAUUGUUGUAUUAGAAGAUGGGUUGGCUUGCUUGCACAGGUUCCAAUUUCAACUGCUGUCUGUGAUAUUGUAACACUUUGUUUGAUGAUUUAUGUCCAAAUUAUGAAGAAUGUCCUACGUGAUUUCAAUCACUGGCUGCCUUGUUACACUGACAGCACUUGUAUUUAUAAUUCAUCAAGAUGUUUUGCAAAAUGACAAAAUGGAAUUAUUAUUUUUUUUUUUAAUGCAUCCAUCACCUAUUUAUACAUCACUUUUGGCCUUUUCUCAGACAAACAAAAGUGUGUAUGAACUAUGUUUUCUCUUUUUCCAGGCUGCUUUUGUUUUCAAUUAAUUGCUUGAAGACUUAAACAGUCAGCGGAAAAAUGAUCCCUUAAUGUCAAGACAAAUAUCUAUUUAUUGAAGCCAAACUGCUCAUUUGACAUUUUUCUGUACAACUUCCCCACAGAUAAUUUCACUGUGACCAAAAUAAAAGCAUGAUGAAUUAUUUCCAGCAAUAGUUUCCCCCCCUCAAAGACACAGAAGCCAUUUUGUAUUUACUAUCGCUGUGAGAUUUUGACUAAUUUAUAAAGGAAAGAAUGUGAGCAGUUCUUGAGUCCUUGAGAAGAAACUUUGACAUGUGUAAAUCCCACCAAUGUCAACAUCAGCGAACGACGAGGGCAAAUGAAGACAAUAAUGCAGAAACACACACACACACUGCAGUACACAGGGAUCACAGGCAGUGAAACACAAACAUGACGGUACACAGUUUGACUUGUUCGACGGCCGUGAUGCCGGACGCUGCUGCCUGGUGUAGCAUGUGGGGUCAGGGAGGACGGGAGAGUUUCAGGUAGCCAUUAUGUCCCAGAUGUGUGGAAAACAGCGGUUUGUGAAUUGAGCUUUGCUUUGGACAGCGAGCGCCUCCCCACCGUGAGUCUAAGCCGGUUGUCUUUUUGUCAUUUUAUCCAUGGACAUUUCUUCUUUUUAGGAUGACACGGUUGUUGAGUCGAUUCUCUUGUUUGUUGGAGCAGCUUCAUACAACUCAAAUGUCUCAGGGGAAAACGUCUGCCCAGGUUUCCUAAAAGGUUUCAUUUCAAGAGGAUGACAUUACCGUCCAAUUUUGUGUCAGUGGCUGCAGGAUGAUGAAGACGUUGUGUGUUUGGCAAAAUCAUAGAAAAGAGAACUUCUAAGUCUAGAAAGAUUGAACUUUUAGUUUGUCAUUGUUUCAGAAACCGAUAUUGCAUCAAGUCAAAUGUUUAUGCUUUUGUACAUGUAUUUCAAUAUGACCAAUAAAAG
ensembl:lncRNA